rnacentral:rRNA from 1 species
UACGGGGGGAGCAAGCGUUGUUCGGAUUUACUGGGCGUAAAGGGCGCGUAGGCGGCCAGCGCAAGUCAGUUGUGAAAUCUCCGGGCUUAACUCGGAAAGGUCAACUGAUACUGCGCGGCUAGAGUGCAGAAGGGGCAACUGGAAUUCUCGGUGUAGCGGUGAAAUGCGUAGAUAUCGAGAGGAACACCUGCGGCGAAGGCGGGUCUCUGGGCCGAUAUUGACGCUGAGGAGCGAAAGCGUGGGGAGCGAACAGG